UCCGGCGCUGCAGCUGCCCGCCUGUGCCCAACAUGGCGAUGCAUAACAAGGCUGCGCCGCCGCAGAUCCCGGACACCCGGCGGGAGCUGGCGGAGCUCGUGAAGCGGAAGCAGGAGCUGGCGGAAACGCUGGCAAACUUGGAGAGACAGAUCUAUGCUUUUGAAGGAAGCUACCUGGAAGAUACUCAGAUGUACGGCAAUAUUAUUCGUGGCUGGGAUAGGUAUCUGACCAACCAAAAAAACUCCAACAGCAAAAACGAUCGAAGGAACCGGAAGUUUAAGGAAGCUGAGCGGCUCUUCAGUAAAUCCUCGGUUACUUCGGCAGCUGCAGUAAGUGCACUGGCAGGAGUUCAGGACCAGCUCAUUGAAAAGAGGGAGCCAGGAAGUGGGACGGAAAGUGACACUUCUCCAGACUUCCACAAUCAGGAGAAUGAGCCCAACCAGGAGGACCCUGAGGAUCUGGAUGGAUCUGUGCAGGGCGUGAAACCUCAGAAGGCUGCUUCUUCCACUUCCUCAGGGAGUCAUCACAGCAGCCAUAAAAAACGAAAGAAUAAAAACCGGCACAGCCCGUCUGGCAUGUUUGAUUAUGACUUUGAGUAUGUAUAUUAGGUUAGGCUGGGAAGUUUUUUUUAAAAACAGAAAAACGUGAUGGAGGAUUGAUCUGAAGUUAAACAAAAAACCACGAGCUGACUAUUAGAAGACUCACUAGUGCAGAAGCUUCCAGGCUGUAAGCCCCGCCUCCCUGCUCCGACCUCGCAGAGACACACCUCCCCUGCCCGCGUGCGUGUGCGUGGCCGUCCCGCUCUGCUCUCCCAGACCCAGCGCCUGUGACUCUGAGUCGUUCGUCCUGAAACGUGGUGACAAGUCCUGUCCGUAAGGCCACAUUGGAUCAUUCACGUUGUGUCAUUUUCAGUAACAGAACUGCAGGAAGACCGUGGCGUGGUUAUGGUCCCGGCAAGUUGCUAACUGAGUCUCUCCCUUCUCGGAACGAACGUCUGCCCCGGAGAUCGAUCCGCCGGCCUCAGCUCCCUCCGUGGUCCCCGUCGGGAAACGGCCUCUUUGGUUUUACGCUGGAAGUAGGGCAGCGGUCGCGGUUCAGACGGAGGCUAUAAACACCGGGCAUUUUCUUAUUUCGUUUGUGUUUUAUCAUUUUUCUAUUGUUGUUUUUACCAUUUCACUUUCUUUUGGGACUUUUUGUAAUGACUUUGUACAGCGCAUACCUUCCUGCUGACAUAUCUAACAGUCUGUUUCGCACAGUUGCCAAUGUCCUUGAACUGAAAGUAGUCUGGUUUGCCGUAAAUAAAAUGGGGAACUCGGCUCUUUGGGUUUGCGCAGGGGAAAGGUAAAGUGUUUAUUUAACAAUCACCUCCCUUAAACCUUUCUGAAUUGGAAGCAGUUUCCAUGUUGAAGGAAUAGAAAAAAACUGAAAAACAUAAGUUUUAAUCAGUCCUUUUAAAAUAUUUUUAUUCUUUUAUAUAAAUAAAGUAUCACAGGGUUUGAUUUCUCAUGCUUUACUUUUAAACCUGAGGGGUUUUUUUCACUUAUUUAUUCGUAUCAUGCCUUAUGGAAAUUUUUUUCUCCAUCUUAUCUCUCUUUGCUGGUAUUGCCUGAUUAAAUAGUGCUUAAAAAUCACUAAGGCAUAUGGAAAGGCUGGAAGUUGCACCCACAGCUGAUAACACGCGGAGUUCUUGAGCAGAGGGAAAGACAGGAUCAGUGAGAGCCAGCAGCACCCACCGCCCCUGGCCGUGUGGAAGAGCCGGGGAACUUGCUGAUAAUUGUUACCAGCCUCUGGAGUGGUGGUGCUCUGCCGCAGCUGCACAUUGGAAUCACCCGGGAAGCUUAAAAAAAAUACUGAUGCCUGGGUCCCACCCCCAGAGACUCUGGGCCAGGGUAUAGCCUGGUGAUGGGGAUUUCCUUUCAAAGACUCCCUGGGAUUCUGAUAGGAAGCCAAGUCAGGAAUUACUGCGCUGGGAGGCUGGCCAGUGCAGUUUGAACCCUGUGUUGUGAAUCAGUGUAAGGGAUGAGAUUUGGGGGCCUGGCCUUUCCUCUGACUCUAUUUAGUCAUAGUCCUUAUGCCUAUAUCUCUGUUAGAAAAACAUGUUCCAUUUGUGAUAAUAUUGGUAGAGCUGAAUGUGGGUGGCGUUGAUUAUCAAAACAAUUCUACCUUGUCUGUGCAAAAGCUUUCACUCUUGUUCUUAAAUAAACCUUUUCUUUUGCUUUUUUUUUUA